rnacentral:rRNA from 1 species
AUUGAACGCUGGCGGCAGGCCUAACACAUGCAAGUCGAGCGGAUGAAGGGAGCUUGCUCCUGGAUUCAGCGGCGGACGGGUGAGUAAUGCCUAGGAAUCUGCCUGGUAGUGGGGGAUAACGUCCGGAAACGGGCGCUAAUACCGCAUACGUCCUGAGGGAGAAAGUGGGGGAUCUUCGGACCUCACGCUAUCAGAUGAGCCUAGGUCGGAUUAGCUAGUUGGUGGGGUAAAGGCCUACCAAGGCGACGAUCCGUAACUGGUCUGAGAGGAUGAUCAGUCACACUGGAACUGAGACACGGUCCAGACUACUAAGGGAGGCAGCAGUGGGGAAUAUUAGACAAUGGGCGAAAGCCUGAUCCAGCCAGGCCGCGUGUGUGAAGAAGGUCUUCGGAUUGUAAAGCACUUUAAGUUGGGAGGAAGGGCAGUAAGUUAAUACCUUGCUGUUUUGACGUUACCAACAGAAUAAGCACCGGCUAACUUCGUG